CCCUCCCAUUCUCAAAUCUAAUCUGACCAUCCAAAUCGACUCCCACCCCCUUCUCAUUUAGAAAAUUAGGGUUUGUGAGAGCAAUAUGAGAAGCCGUAUGUGAAGAAUAUGACGUGUUUGUGCAUCUAUCUUUAGAUCCCAAUCCCUAAACCUAACAUUCUGAUCGUUCGAUUUAAACCCAUGGAACCUAAUGUCUAUGAACCGAUUGAAGCUCAGAAAAUCAGUUCUCGAAAUUGGAAGGAAAAUGAAGCGUUGCCAGGUUGAAUAAUCAAAAGUUGCAGAUUUAAGCGACAAACAACUAAAGUUCUCACGAUGAAGGUAUUAAGAUAAACAAAAAUCACAGCCUCCUCUGCCCUUUACAAUAUUCUAAUUGUGAUAUUCUGUUAGUUGUGAUAAUCUAACGUUCUUCCAGUUAUGAGUUAUGUGUUGAUGUUUCUUUCAAAAUUUUGUUUUUGUUGGCUUAAUUUUGAUAGACUUGUGCAGCAAUAGCCUACGCAGUAUGCAACGUGUGUAUAACAUAGUAUUGAUCAGUCCAUUGUUAGUGCUUCUAUCUACCUUUUUUUGUUUAGCGAUUGGGGCGACAACGUUUCAAGGCGAUGUUUGCUUAUUUCAUGACUUAGAAAAUGGAGGAUGAACCAAGUUUUAACCCUUUUUGGUUUUUAGAUCAUGUUGGUGUUACCACUUCCCGUGUUCAUCUUUAAGGGGGGCUAUCAGCUAUGGAUGAAUUUGGAUUGAGAUCUCUUCCCAAUUUGCAUAAUAUAUAUAUCGGCACUUGUUUCCUUAUCAUCAAGGUAUACGGAUUUUAAUAUUGCAUUCUAUUGAUUAUUUAGUUAGAUACUUAGGUCUAUGAGGUACCCAACGAGUCUAUGUUUGUCUUUCAAUGUGUUGACAAGAGUUCAGGAAGCCGUUUGAUCUAUUAUAAUUAUUGUUUGACAGGUUGGGCGGCAGGGGUGUAUCAAACUUACAUAGAUGGCUGUACAAGGCAAAGACCAAGGCUACAAUCUUGUUCUAGAAUUCAAUGGAGCAAUUUUGGUGUUGUAAAAGAUCAAAGUAACUCGUCUUCAGAGUUGUGGACCUUGCAACGGGUCUUGUGCCAAACCUAGGACCAACGUGUCUGAAUCUGCAACAUGUGGUGGUCAAAGCCAAGUUGUAUCUUUAUCUCUAUUUAUCUGGUUUUAGUUCCUUGUAUUUGUAGAAUUUGUACAUUUUUGUAAAUUGAUAUGAAUUUAUUGAAUAGGAUUUGUAAAUCUAUUUUGGCAUCAAACUUGU
rnacentral:lncRNA from 1 species